AUCAACUUUCGAUGGUAGGAUAGUGGCCUACCAUGGUAUCAACGGGUAACGGGGAAUCAGGGUUCGAUUCCGGAGAGGGAGCCUGAGAAAUGGCUACCACAUCUAAGGAAGGCAGCAGGCGCGUAACUUACCCACUCUUCGAUCGAGGAGGUAGUGACGAAAAAUAACAAUGUAAGACUCAAUUGAGCUCUUAAAUUGGAAUGAGAACAGAUUAAAUCCUUUAUCAAGGAUCAAUUGGAGGGCAAGUCUGGUGCCAGCAGCCGCGGUAAUUCCAGCUCCAAUAGCAUAUAUUAAAGUUGUUGCAGUUAAAAAGCUCGUAGUUGAAUUUCGGGAUUGACACAUCGGUCGUGCCUUAAGGGGUAUGAACUGGUGUAGUCAAUUUCUCACCUUCUGGAGAACCGCGAUGCCCUUAAUUGGGUGUCGCGGGGAACCAGGACCUUUACUUUGAAAAAAUUAGAGUGUUUAAAGCAGGCAUUUUGCUUGAAUACAUUAGCAUGGAAUAAUAAAAUAGGACGGCAUGAUUCUAUUUUGUUGGUUUCUAGGAUCACCGUAAUGAUUAAUAGGGAUAGUUGGGGGCAUUAGUAUUCAAUUGUCAGAGGUGAAAUUCUUGGAUUUAUUGAAGACUAACUACUGCGAAAGCAUUUGCCAAGGAUGUUUUCAUUAAUCAAGAACGAAAGUUAGGGGAUCGAAGACGAUCAGAUACCGUCGUAGUCUUAACCAUAAACUAUGCCGACUAGGGAUCGGACGAAGUUAAUUUUAUAAUGACGCGUUCGGCACCUUACGGGAAACCAAAGUGUUUGGGUUC
rnacentral:rRNA from 1 species